rnacentral:rRNA from 1 species
AGUGAACGCUGGCGGUAGGCCUAACACAUGCAAGUCGAACGGCAGCACAGGAGAGCUUGCUCUCUGGGUGGCGAGUGGCGGACGGGUGAGGAAUACAUCGGAAUCUACCUUUUCGUGGGGGAUAACGUAGGGAAACUUACGCUAAUACCGCAUACGACCUACGGGUGAAAGUGGGGGACCGCAAGGCCUCACGCGAUUAGAUGAGCCGGUGUCCGAUUAGCUAGUUGGCGGGGUAAUGGCCCACCAAGGCGACGAUCGGUAGCUGGUCUGGGAGGAUGAAUAGCCAAACAGGAACUGAGACACGGUCCAGACUCCGACGGGAGGCAGCAGUGGGGAAUAUUGGACAAUGGGCGCAAGCCUGAUCCAGCCAUACCGCGUGGGUGAAGAAGGCCUUCGGGUUGUAAAGCACUUUUGUUGGGAAAGAAAUCCUGUCGAUUAAUACUCGGUGGGGAUGACGGUACCCAAAGAAUAAGCACCGGCUAACUUCGUGCCAGCCGCCGCUGUAAAAC